rnacentral:rRNA from 1 species
GCCUGCCAGUGACACUGUUUAACGGCCGCGGUAUCCUGACCGUGCAAAGGUAGCAUAAUCAUUUGUUCUCUAAAUAAGGACUUGUAUGAAUGGCCACACGAGGGUUUUACUGUCUCUUACUUCCAAUCAGUGAAAUUGACCUUCCCGUGAAGAGGCGGGAAUGCAUAAAUAAGACGAGAAGACCCUAUGGAGCUUUAACUAACCAACCCAAAGAAAAUAAAUUUAACCAUUGAGGAACAACAACAAUCUCCAUGAGUUGGUAGUUUCGGUUGGGGUGACCUCGGAGAAUAAAAAAUCCUCCGAACGAUUUUAAAGACUAGACCCACAAGUCAAAUCACUCUAUCGCUCAUUGAUCCAAAAAUUUGAUCAACGGAACAAGUUACCCUAGGGAUAACAGCGCAAUCCUAUUUAAGAGUCCAUAUCGACAAUAGGGUUUACGACCUCGAUGUUGGAUCAGGACAUCCUGAUGGUGCAACCGCU